rnacentral:rRNA from 1 species
GACGAACGCUGGCGGCGUGCUUAACACAUGCAAGUCGAACGGAAAGGCCCUGCUUGUGUGGGGUGCUCGAGUGGCGAACGGGUGAGUAACACGUGAGUAACCUGCCCUUGACUUUGGGAUAACUUCAGGAAACUGGGGCUAAUACCGGAUAGGAUCUCCUGCUGCAUGGUGGGGGUUGGAAAGUUUCGGCGGGUGGGGAUGGACUCGCGGCUUAUCAGCUUGUUGGUGGGGUAGUGGCUUACCAAGGCUUUGAAGGAUAGGCGGCCUGAGAGGGUGAACGGCCACAUUGCGACUGAGAUACGGCGCAGACUCCUACGGGAGGCAGCAGUGGGGAAUAUUGUACAAUGGGCGGAAGCCUGAUGCAGCAACGCCGCGUGCGGGAUGACGGCCUUCGGGUUGUAAACCGCUUUAGCCUGUGACGAAGCGUGAGUGACGGUACUGGGUAAAGAAGCACCGGCUAACUACGUG